GCCGAGUUGGUCCAAGAAAAUUGAGUUGGUCAUUUGGAUCGCAUCGUUCUCGGGGUAACCCUGCCCGACCCACGCCCUUUCCACGGGGAGGAAACCCACGACCCUAGAGCUCGGAGAGGAAACCCACGGCUUGAGCGAGACGAGCGAACGCAGCGGCGUAGACCAAGAUCCAGCGCCCCCGACCACAUCCGAGCUCCCCCGGCGGUGACAGAAGCGACGCCCACGACUCCCUCCCUCCGGUGCCAAGGAUCCAAGCUCCACCCCUCCAGCGACGGCGAUGGACCGUGGCCGUCACCGUUCUCCUUCCCCAGAUCUCCCCUCCACCUCCAUGCUCCGAUCCCCUCUGGCGAUGGCGACCAUGACGGUUUCGCUGUAUUCAUCUCAUCUGAUCAAGGGUGCUCAUCAUCGUGUAAACUUGUAUGCUAGAAGCAGGCAGACACACUAGACCCUCCUCCAUUAGACUGAUGAUGAUGCAACAGUGCAUUCUUUACAGUGGAUAAACUGAAACUAGAGUAAGCAUCUUUUUGCUCUGAUGGAUCAAUUUCUCAUUGCUAAUAUUUAUAUAUUUUCUUCUAGGAUUUAUACUUUCUCGUUCAAGAUAAACCACCAGACAAAAUAAACUCUACAAGAUGGUUCUGUUUCUUCACCCAUUACAUACUUUAUCACAUUCACACUAUGUCUGAAUCCUACUACCCGUUUCUGUACAAUAUCAAGAUUGUGUGUUUGUGUACCCCUAUAUACUUUCUUGUGUCUAUUUGUUUUAUGCAAGCCUGCAUUCCUGGAGUCUUAAUUUUCGACUGAUGACGAAACUGAAUAAUGUGCAACAUCUGAUGUGUUCUUUUCUCGGGUAUAAUGCGCAAGCACCACAAGGCUCACAAAGUUAGGGCUCACAUAUAUAAUUAGCCCUAACUCUGAUGUGUUCUUGAAGGCUCCACUUUGUGAGCCUUGUGGUGCUUGCGCAUGUGGCUGGUGGGCGGCGGCGACGGUGUGGCCCUCUUGUCCUAAUGUGAAACUUCCCCCUCCGGUGUUGGAUGUGUGCAGCGGCGAUGUUCUGCUCAAGGAGAGCCUCCGGGUCUCAUUGGGGGUGCGCUGACCUUCUCUAUGUGGCCAUCUUCUGGCGGCAUCCAUCUCAUCUUGCGACGGUGCGUCGCCUUCGAUCCGGGCAAGGAGGUAGUGGCCUUCUUCGAAGAUGGUGUACCGGAUGUGCCGUGCCGGGGCCUGUAGGUGCAUGGUUACAGCAUAUGCCCUGCUGGUGUCGACCCCUCUCUCCUCCGAGCCAGUGUGAUAUUGUUCUUGGUGCAGCAUUCUUGGAGACGGUCCUCGGUGUCUUCGGCUUCGUUCUCUUUUGAUUAUCUUCAGUUUCCAUAGCGUGUGAGGAGUAGUUUGGUGUUGUCCAUCUUUAUGUAUCUUACCGCCGUGUUGUUCUUUCUUUUGCAUGAGGGCGUUUGCUUGUAUUCUGCCAGUUGAUGGCUUUGUUAAUUCAAAGUCGGGCUAGGCUUGAGCCCCAUCUCGGGCUCGGCUAAUGCCUUUUGUCUAAAAAAAUGUUAAACAAUGAUUAGCACACCAGAAUUUAUCCUCGGUGUUGUGUUA